GCCAGUGGCUAUUGUUGACAGGCAAGUAAGGAAGUUACGAUCAAAAGAUAUUGUGUCCGUGAAAGUCUUAUGGAGAAAUCAUACAGUUGAAGAAGCUACUUGGGAAUCGGAAAAUGAUAUGCGAGUCAAGUAUCCCCACUUGUUUCAGUCUACAGGUAUGCCCUUGUUUUAAAUUCGGGGACCAAAUUUCUUAAAGUGAAGAUUAUGUAAUAUCCCAUAAUUAAUAAUGGGUAUUUUGGUGAUUAGAAAAGAAAAACAAAAAAAUAUAGAAAACAAGCAUAUUCCUUACAAAGAUCAAAAAGAGGAUAAAUAAAUAAAUAAAAUAAAGGAAAAUGGGCCAAAGCCCAAAAGAAAAGGACGGGGAUGGGAACUUAAUAGGGAUUAGGGAAGGGAGUAUUUUAUAUUAUCAGUGGCCGCCAACAACAACAACAGUGAAAGGAACAAAACAAAGGAAAGCACCUUUUCACUGAAAGAAAAUUACGGAAGAAGAAGAACAAAGACCGCAGGUGAUAUUGGUGAGGAUUACGGUAACUAGAGAGCACGAGUUGAAAGUUUCUGAUUUUGGGCGAAACGGGAAUUGAAUUUGGAAAGGCGUAAAGAGCGUAUAAGGUACUGAAGACAGAUUUGCUGACCCGCCUGCCUAGGACAUCUAUUCUGCUAUUCUGGAGCGCUCUUUUGUCCAGAGCCUAUAUUUUGGCACAGUCUGUUGCUAUUGUAUAUAUGUACAUUAUUCAGGGGUACGACGGGGCCCUGUCCCGUCUUAUGAUUUUGUCAUGUUCUGUAGAGGUCUGUAGACAUACUUGUGUGGGUUCUGUAUAUGUUUUGGGUUGAUAUGAUCUGUGAUAGCCUUAUCGGCUUGCUUGUGCUAUAACUGUUUAUCUGUGACAACUAGUAGCGCCAAUUGACCCUCAUAUUGAUAUAUUCUGUUAAUAUGCUGGUUUGGGUUAUUGGGUACGUAUGGGUGUCCAGCACGGACACUAGUCGCGGCCUACGGGGUUGGGUCGUGACAUUA